UGUGCAGCUUAUGCCCGGGAUGGGUAUUGUUUGAAAAAAAAAACAAAGUUCUUUAUACAUAGAUUGGAGGUGGGUGGGGGAAACAUUUAGUACGUAAAAAUAUAAUUAGGUUCUUUUGAAGCAUAAUCCUUCUUUCAAAUUUGAGGCCUUGCUCUUUUCUGGUUCUUCAAGUUUGCAUUACUGCAUCACCUUCUUCUCCUUCUUCUUCUUUUUAAAUUUUUUAUACACAUUUAAACCAAAUCUGAUGACUACAAAGAAACUGUCUUAGUUCACUGAUUAUGUUACAUACUUAGAUUUCAUUUCUUUAUACAAAUUUUUUAUACACAUUUAAAUCAAAUCUGCUUUUUUAUAUGAAAGAGCAAUUUGCACUAUUGGAGCCAAAUAAGAAUGGGUGCAUCUCACUAGAAAAUAUAAGAAUGGCAUUGGUGAAAAAUGCAACAGAUGCUAUGAAGGAAUCCCGCAUUCAUGAUUUUCUUGCUUUGGUAUCUAUUUUACUGUUGACUCUGUAGUUAUUCUUCAAUUUCAAAUGGUUCUGUAUGUUUUAUAACUUUUUACCAAUACUCCUUUCUUCUAUGACAGUUGAAUGCUCUUCAAUAUAGAAAGAUGGACUUUCACACUAGUAGCUUUAUGGUCAGAAGCUAACAAACAUGUCUACACACAAAUGAGAGAGAGAGAGAGAGGAUCCAUUCCAGUGUAAAGAAGAAUCAUCAACGCCUGAUGAAAGGGUGCCGUUCUUUGAAGUGGACAUAGUCCUUGAUGUUGUCUCCUUCCAACUUGAAGCUGGCCCACCACACCAAAUCGCCUUCCACCUUUAGAAAACCCCCACCAACAGUGGUGGUAGAAGCAGCAGCAUUGUUACAGGGAACUUGAAGAGGAAGAUUAUUCAGCUUCAGACAUCCACUCACUCUCAGUUUCUCCAAUGCCGGCAAGCACACCUCACCACAAAAACUCUCCAGCUUAGGUAGCUCCCACAGACACACUGUACGUAGUCUUUGGAGUGAGCCUUUAGCUACCCCUCGAAACACCGCCUCCAGUCUAUUGCAGAAUUUGAUAUGGAGAGUUUUCAGGCUUUCUAAGCAUACAGCUGAGGAGAAGAUGACCACAAGUCUCGGGCAACAAUCCAGAUAUAUGUGCAAUUCCUAAAAAAACACAACCAAGGAAAAAUUCUCUCAAUGAAGCUAGCAGCAGCGGCAACAGCAACAAUGACAAAAAUUUUGGAUGUACAGCAGCAACAGCAAUGGCAGUGUGUUUGUUUUGAAAACUUUAAAUAUACGAUUAAUUGUUUUGUUGGUUUUGUGCUGAUUGUUGUCUUGAUGGAUGUUAAAUGGGUGAAACAUGCACAGCUCAAUCAUUGGUUGAUUAUAAUAUUGUUAGCUUUUGUUGAUAGAAA